UGGCGGACGGGUGAGUAACGCGUGGGUAACCUGCCUCAUACAGGGGGAUAACAGUUAGAAAUGACUGCUAAUACCGCAUAAGACCACAGCACCGCAUGGUGCAGGGGUAAAAACUCCGGUGGUAUGAGAUGGACCCGCGUCUGAUUAGCUAGUUGGUGGGGUAACGGCCUACCAAGGCGACGAUCAGUAGCCGACCUGAGAGGGUGACCGGCCACAUUGGGACUGAGACACGGCCCAA
rnacentral:rRNA from 1 species